CCACUGUCCCAGUGAUCGUUUCAGAGAUGGGCACAUUGACUCAGGUGGGGCCAGUGAAGUGUAAGUGGCAAUUUUUGUUGUGGUCACUGAGAAAGAAAAGGACUCUUUGUGAGUAGAUUGCCCUAUCAAUAGGGUAAAGAUCUAGAGUCAAUGAGGACCGUCUUGUCACCCCAAAGGAAGUUAACACAGCCAACACAAAGCCAAAAGAUGGAGACACAGAGUCUUGAGGAUAUUAUCAUAGCACCUAGAUCUAGUUGUGCCUGAUGUCACAUGUCCCCUUGGAUUUUAUUUUGUGAGCUAAUUAAUAUCCUUUAUGUAUUAAGCCAAUUCCAUUGGGCACCUCCUGUUUGAGGAGAGUCUUGAUUAAAAUACCAGUGAAGCUAGGGACCAUGAGACCAGUGUAUUUUCAAUCAAAUCACCUCACGUGUACAAUAAUGGCAAAAUGAAUGUAAAAUCCAGCCAAAGAAGGUAUCUCAGAAGAGGAUGGAACUGGGCUGGGCCCUGAAGGUGGGGGAGGUCCAGAAGGGCAGACAGAGGAGGAGGCUUCUCUGGAAGCAAGGAGAACAGCACAGAGAAAAGCAUGGGAUUGAGGCAUGAGGAAGGGGCAGGGAGCCACUGCCCAACUUGGGGAGGAGACCACCAAUGGAGUAAGGUGUGGUGUAUGCAGCAGAGCAGCAAGAAAAUACCCUGAAUGUAGGAUGAGAUUUGAGGCUCCAGAGAGAAAAAACACCAUAGGAUCCAAAGCACCUUCCGCAAAUGACAGGAGAGGGCCACUUAUGGGCAAUUCUCUGGACAAAGCCUACAAACUUGUAUGAAGAUGUGCUGCCCUUCAUGGGGUUCUUUAAGUGUCAAUAGUUGAAAAUUGAAAUACUUUACAUCAACUUCCAACAUCUGGAUUUCGCACAACCAGUGGGAGAUCUUGUGGCCCCAGGGCACACAUUCCUAUGUGGCAACCACAGGCUAACACAGACAGACAGCAUCUCCUGGUGAGACGGGGCGCAUCCCUGCAGCCCACCGCCCCUCCCCCAUUGUGUUACAUGGCCCCCUGCCUACCUCCACGUCAUCAACCUGGCCACAUAAGCAUGUACUCGUGUGGCUCUGAGGGAGAGGAACCUCCUUCUAUCAGACUCACAGGCUCUGUUUCUGUCUGAAUUCUCAGAAUCCACAGCCCCAUUUAAAGAAGAUCCCACUUUCACCAAAUUGGAUGUUGACAACGCCUCCGCCAGGGAGCUUUCUGAUCUGAUUUUGAUAUUAUUUCUCACUAAGAUCACCUUCCUUGCCACCUUUAUUAUUCAAAUGGUUAAGAAAACCCUUUGCAAUAAGCAGACUCAUAACUCAGAUUGUUCUACUGGGGACAGACCCACACUCCUUCCCUUUGUUUCAUUAAUGGAAAACAGGGGAUGCGGGAAAAUAUGAAGGUGAAGAUAACUUCCAGAGAGGAGUGGAAUCUUAAAGCACUUUGCAAAACUUUCUAAAUAACCAUGAUGUUCCAUAAUCUUCAAAAAGAGCAGAAUUUAAAAAGAUUACGAAGGAUGGCCAAUUAUUAGAUUUUGUGAAAAAUUUCCAGCUCCUUCCUUGUGAGUGAGCAGCCAGGUGCUAGUCCUCCCAAAAGUGGUUUCUCUUCAAAGCCAGCACCAAUGACAUGCACUAGUGCUACUGGCCCCAGUGAUCUCAGAAGAGACUUGGUUUUAUGUAAUUGUAUGACUCUGAGCUAUGGGUUGAAACAGUGGAAAAUCCCCCUGCUCAAAGAGAGGAGCACUACCAUGCACUCAAACAGCUGAGCAAGACUGUUAAAGAGGAAAAUGGACUGAGCUGGAGGAGCCACAAUGUAUUUGGUUUAAUUAGAAAAAUGCAGAUGCCUUCUCAGCAGCUUUACAGAGAUGUGCCUCGGUCAGAAAGACCCUGGAAUAAGCAGACAGGAUCACAGUAGGAGGCUGCAGGAAUGGCCCCUAGAGGGACUUGAGCCAAGAACAUGAGCUGGUGUUUCCCCAAGUAUAGAUGGAGGUCCCUCUGCGGGAACUAAGAAGCAGCCUUCCCAGUUAUUUAGGCUUCAGCCAGCCCUCUCCCGGUUAAUGAAACCACAUCUGUACGGUGCCCUAGAAAGGGGUAACCAGCACAGAGUCUGAAGAGAACAAGCUGGCUCCACGCAGGGACGAGAUUGAUGGGGUGUUCUGAAAGGGGCCAAAUGAUGAGGUCCUAAGACGAUGUCAAUCGCAUGCGAAGAGGACUGUAAACUGUAUGGCCACAUACUUAUGUCUCUUGCCAAUGUGGUCUUUGGGCACACAGAAAAUCUGAGUGUUCAUGAAUCUUCACUGCCUCAUCUGUGCCAUUAGGGGUCUCACAGAAAGAAAAUCAAGACAACCAGGUGACCAAUGACAGGGCUUGUUCUCCCAUUGGAGUGGCUUUUGUGAACAGGCCUUGUUUGUCCUCUGAUUCCCAGGUCCACAUAAGUCACCCUGAUGCUGCUGCCCUGUGUGCCAAGGGCAGGACCCAUCUCUGUCUGGACUCCAAGCCCCAGCUAUCCUCAGAAGUGGGCACCGGAGACGGCUGAGCCCUUUGACCACAGGUCUCAUGUCCACAGGUCUCUCUCCUGGCUCGGUGCAUGCCUCGGGUUUCUACCCAGCUGGUCCCAACUGCACAGUCCCCAGCCCUGAAGGACCUGGGAGUUCUGUAGCCCUUGGCUCCCCAAUCCCUGAAAGGUCUCCCCAAAUCAGAUGGCCCUUGCCAGCCUCCUGGGGGUAUAGCCUCUUUCACUUCCUUCCCUCAGGGUCCCAGAUGUGUGCUGCCUAUUUUUGGUCUUCUGGCUUUUGUGGCCUUCCCCGUUUGUGGGGAGGUGGGGGACAAGUCCAGCAGUGACACCAUUUCAGGAACAAGCCAUGAGCUCUAUUUUAUUUUUUUUCUACUUUAAAAUAAAUACACGUGAACUAGGGCUUUUAUUUCAGCCCCAUCCCACGGCCCGCAUUUUAAGCCAUAGGGACACCUCCGCCUCCUACUCCGUUCUCUGUCUCCCACAUAGAAUCUGUCCCCAAGUCCUGCUGGUUCCAGCCAGACUCCUCUCUUGAAUCUCUGUCCUCCUCUCUCCCACUCAUUGAAUCUUACUGGAGUUGCCUCAUGACAGGCCUCCGCCCCCUUCUUCACACACCCCGCCCCCCCACAGAGUUUGUGUCCUGAGACACACACCAGGUCACACCACAGCUCAGUUCAAACCCCACCCCCAUCCCAUGCACAAAGUAGGCUUUGCACUCCACUAGGAGGACAGUCGGGUCACCACAUCCACACCUGCCCAUCUAGCCCAGUUCUUGCUAUUCCCAUUGCCCAGGUGCCUGCAUGUGCUCACCUGUGCUCUUUGAAUCAUACUCACGGCAUAUGCACACCUGUGGCCUUUGUUCUGGAUACUCUUCUUCCAGCCUUGUCCCAGGAGAGUCCCAGGCAUCUUCAUUGUCACCUGCAUGAUCCACUGUUCCCUCCUCUCUCUUGUCCUACCCUUGGAUACAUCCACAUUACAACUCAGAGAGCAGGAACUGCAUUUUAUCCGUCAUCCCCCCAUCCCUGGCUCCUGCAGCAGUCCCACCCAAAGUGAAUACUCACAGCUGGCUAAACUGAAUGAUGCUGCAAGCAUCACUGGUGCUGCAGCAAGAGCUAACAGUAAUUAACGAAAAGAUCAGGGACCCCUAUUCCAGCUCUGAGCACAGGAGACCAAUUCAUCCUCCACCCCAAAUUCAAACCCCAAAUGGCAGAACUAAAUUGGCAAACGCAAGUUAGAGGAAAAAGAAAAUGUUCAUUCAAGCCAAGCACAAUCAGGAGGAAAAAGGCAGUCUUGAGGGAGGAACUAAUGAAUCUCUGAGAACAUGAAGAGGAGAAAGGAGGAGCUGAAGACCCAUUUCACAGCUGUCUGUCCCGUGGAUCAGUUUUUUGUCACUUGCUAUGAGAAAAUCAAGUCCCCUCUGAGCUAUAAAAUGUGCAUGAGCUUCAGAAGGGCAGUGGAGGACGCCCCCCACAACCCCCUGCCACCCCAGAACCAUCUGCAGCCGGGAGGGCAGGGGGCCCAGGGCCCAGUACAGGUGGUCUGUGUGUCUCAGGUGGGAAGUUGUAAGGGAAGUAGAAGAGACUGGGUUUUGGAGAGGGGUCUUGGCUGAGAAAGCAGAGAUUUGGAGGAGGCAUCAGAAAACAUGUAUUUUGCUAAAGAAAUUGCAGAUAGAACCCAGAAAGUUCAGACAUAGGCUUUGGAGGGCCACAGGAAUUUCUGAAGCACCUGCCACGGGCCAGCCUCUGAGGACACAAAGAUGGAGAAGAACCAGUCCUCUCCUUGGAGGAGUGCACAAUGAUUUUAGGGGAGGACCCAUGAAUAAGUGUCAAGUGAUGCAGUGUGGGGCCUGCAUGGCUGAAUGGGGCAAGAGACACGGGGCAGUGUGGAGGGUUGCACAGAGGAGCAUUAACAAGGUAGCCAGUAAAACAAAAGUCUUUCUAUCCAUCUUCCCCUCCCAGCUGACAGCUCCACAGCAGGGGUGGGGGCAGGAACAGUUGCCCACCCCCACAAUCACUGGCUCCCAGAGACCAGGUCCGGGCAAUCAGAUGUGUCCUCUGCAGGCCUUUCAAGACCCCAGCUCUUGGAUCCUUCCCACAAGGAGACAUUUUUAGACUGCUCCCUAGGAACAGUUUUAGGAGCAUCAGGAAAGUGCACCAUUAGGAGCACACAGCUGGCAAUCAAUAAAUGCACAUUUAGCUGAUGUGGUCUGGGGCUUUAUCCCAACCAUCUUCUUGGGAAAGCUGUCUCAUUUUUAUCAAUAUGAAAUUGGCCCCCAUUUCACCUUCUAUCAGUCAAAUAGGCUGGGUGUGCUGAGGCAACAAAUCACCCCAGAACUGAGAGUGGCUUCAAAAAUAAGUUUAUUUCUCAUGUUGCCCGACCAUCAGGGAUUAUCUACUCCACGGGCCUGCCACUUGUUUGUACAACCAAUGGGUAACUGGAACACAGCUGUGCUCAUCCAUUUACUGCUUUUGUGCAAGGAUCAAUCACCUGGGGAGGAUUCCAGAAAGUUCUUUUGUAGUGACUAAAUGGUCUGGCCUGAAAUUGCAUGAGAAUUACAUGCUACUUCCACUCAUGACUCAUUGGCCAGAAAUCUGCGUGUGGCUCCACUUAACCACAAGGGGGCUGGAGGUGCAGUCAAAUUACUGCUUCACAGAGGGAAAAAUAAAGAGUGCUGGUGCCUCGCAUGUAAAAUUUCACCAUUUCACUGAGAGAUAUUUCAGUUUCUAUCGUGAUCGAGAAUAAGCAUCAAAGAAGACACCACGCAUACUUGCUGAAGAGAAGCAGCAGCAAAGGCAACAGGAAAGUGUUCAAAUGGAAUAUAAACAAACUGAGGAGUUUAACAAGAUCACCCAGAAUGGAAUGGUUUCUGUCUCCUUAAAACUAUAUUUAUAAAUGUUUUCCUAAGAGAUAAAUAAGCAGAUUUCUGGAUGACAGAAAUGUUUUCUCUUUUAAGCUUUAAGCAAGAUGGUUGCUAUCACAACUCUAUCUUUGGAAACGCCUAUCUGGAAGACCUUAAAUCACUGGAGAGGCCAAGUGAACUGCGGGCACUUGGUUUCAAAAUAGAGCGCUCACUCCAUCCCCUUCACGUGCAGUGGGGUCACUAGAAAUAACCAGAGACAAAUGCCCACCCGCAUGUACACACCCCUAGUUUAUGCAGGUACCUGCUGCAUGACAACUGUUACGAACAGGUUCACGAUGGAAAACUGAAAAGAGAAACAAU